rnacentral:lncRNA from 1 species
UUGAAAGUUGUGUCAAACUUGAUACAGUUAUGUGUGAAUGGAUAUUGAGGAUAAUAGAAAUAGAUAGGUUACUAAGUAAUUGAUCGUUAGUGAAGGUGUAAGGAAUAGGUAGUGUUAGUAUUAGUUGAAUAUGUAUAAUUUUAGGUGGUGUAUAUGAUAGGUAUGUUGGUAUAAUGUAAUAUUUUGUAUAAGUUAUGGCAGCUAUUCCUGACUUCCGAGUCACAAAGGGAUAGCGGAUGUUAAAGCAAUAUGUGCUAUGGUAUGGCAAGUGCUAUGAAUAUGGAUUUAUGUUGGAUUAAUGAAGUAAGU